UCGGGAAUUUUGGGCAAUGGGGGAAACCCUGACCCAGCAACGCCGCGUGAAGGAUGAAGUAUUUCGGUAUGUAAACUUCGAAAGAAUAGGAAGAAUAAAUGACGGUACUAUUUAUAAGGUCCGGCUAACUACGUGCCAGCAGCCGCGGUAAUACGUAGGGACCAAGCGUUGUUCGGAUUUACUGGGCGUAAAGGGCGCGUAGGCGGCAUGACAAGUCACUUGUGAAAUCUCUGGGCUUAACCCAGAACGGCCAAGUGAUACUGUCGCGCUAGAGUGCAGAAGGGGCAAUCGGAAUUCUUGGUGUAGCGGUGAAAUGCGUAGAUAUCAAGGGGAACACCUGAGGUGAAGACGGGUUGCUGGGCUGACACUGACGCUGAGGCGCGAAAGCCAGGGGAGCAAACGGGAUUAGAUACCCCCGUAGUCCCUGAGCGGGCUGGCAAGGCGCAU
rnacentral:rRNA from 1 species